UACGGAGGGGGGCAAGCGUUGUUCGGAAUUACUGGGCGUAAAGGGCGCGCAGGCGGCUGCUCAAGUCAGGCGUGAAAGGCCUGGGCUCAACCCGGGAAUUGCGCUUGAGACUGGGCUGGCUUGAGUGCGGGAGAGGAUGGUGGAAUUCCCAGUGUAGAGGUGAAAUUCGUAGAUAUUGGGAAGAACACCGGUGGCGAAGGCGGCCAUCUGGACCGCAACUGACGCUGAGGCGCGAAAACGUGGGGGAGCAAACAGGG
rnacentral:rRNA from 1 species